rnacentral:tRNA from 1 species
UGUUGUAGCUCAGCGGUAGAGCACUUCCUUGGUAAGGAAGAGGUCACGAGUUCAAGUCUCGUCAAC